GGGGGUGGAGGUAGCAGGGAGAGGAUGUUUACUCGAUGGAAGAGUGCAGGGUGGUGCAUGCAGGGCACGCCUCCGAGGUAGCCGAUGCCUACUGUAUCCAGUGUUCUGCUGGAUCCGGUGCCACCUCAAAGAACACCUUCUUCUGGCUGGGCAUUGAACGCCUCAGGGACGACGAGGUGCAGCAACUGGGGUGGAAGCAGUUCAACUACAUGAUGAAGAAUUGAGUGAAGGGGUUAAGACGGUUGCGUUGUGCAUGCGCUGCUUGCUUGCCGGGAGGGCAUUGCAACUAUUCAUGCAGCCGUAUGCGCACUGCUUGUGCUGGGCGCCGAUCUGGAGGCCCCUGAUCGGAAGGGACGCCACUGGAGUUGCUGCGGGAGAUGGUAGCGGUACACCCAGUGGCAAGGCACCAUAUGACAGACAAUUGUGGUCUGCAUUUUUUUAACCAAAAUAUUGAACAUGUUCUGAUUUUACCAGAAUACUGAUGUGGACAUUCAAGUUGCAAUAGUGGAGCUGGAUGUGCUGCUAUAGAUUGGUCCUUGCAGCUUAUGAAGGCAUCAACUAUUGGCGGCACAAAAUUGUGGAGCUUAAGAUUCCCCACCCUUAUUUCUGAAGGAAAGCUAAAGUUCGGGGUGCUAAUCUCCGAGGAUUUUCUCAAUGUGAAAUAGUGCAAGAUGAGGAACUGGCUCAACUUCAGAGUUUCAGUUAAGUGCACAGUUAAAGAAAAAUUAUAACAACUCGGAUGCAGCUCAGAGGUCAAAUAUCAUGAUGCAGAGUAGGCACUAAACCUAAUGUAUCUACUUGAUUUUGUUGUUGCAGAUUAAAUGGUUAUCUUAUCUGUACACAACUGAUUAGGCAGUAUAGCAGUACCCGCACGUUUUGUUUCACCGAGCCGUGUUGCUUAUGAUUUUGAAUUCGAACGGAUCUGCUUCUGUUCACUAAAGAAAUAAAUGCAUGGAUAGAGAAGGUAUGCUCUAAGUUGUUU